rnacentral:rRNA from 1 species
GACGAACGCUGGCGGCGUGCUUAACACAUGCAAGUCGAACGGAAAGGCCCUGCUUUUGUGGGGUGCUCGAGUGGCGAACGGGUGAGUAACACGUGAGUAACCUGCCCUUGACUUUGGGAUAACUUCAGGAAACUGGGGCUAAUACCGGAUAGGAGCUCCUGCUGCAUGGUGGGGGUUGGAAAGUUUCGGCGGUUGGGGAUGGACUCGCGGCUUAUCAGCUUGUUGGUGGGGUAGUGGCUUACCAAGGCUUUGACGGGUAGCCGGCCUGAGAGGGUGACCGGCCACAUUGGGACUGCGAUACGGCCCAGACUCCUCCGGGAGGCAGCAGUGGGGAAUAUUACACAAUGGGCGGAAGCCUGAUGCAGCAACGCCGCGUGCGGGAUGACGGCCUUCGGGUUGUAAACCGCUUUCGCCUGUGACGAAGCGUGAGUGACGGUAAUGGGUAAAGAAGCACCGGCUAACUACGUG